rnacentral:rRNA from 1 species
GGCGAUUAGUUUCCAGCCUAUCCUUGGCCGAGAGGCCCGGGUAAUCUUUGAAACUGCGUCGUGAUGGGGAUAGAUUAUUGCAAUUAUUAGUCUUCAACGAGGAAUGCCUAGUAAGCGCGAGUCAUCAGCUCGCGUUGAUUACGUCCCUGCCCUUUGUACACACCGCCCGUCGCUCCUACCGAUUGGGUGUGCUGGUGAAGUGUUCGGAUUGGCUUCAGGUGAUGGCAACAUCGCUUGUUGCUGAGAAGUUCAUUAAACCCUCCCACCUAGAGGAAGGAGAAGUCGUAACAAGGUUUCCGUAGGUGAACCUGCGGAAGGAUCAUUGAAUCUAUCAAUACCAACACGUGAACCAAUUCGUCUGGCCCCAUGCGCACUUCUUUUAGUGCGUGCGGCGUCCUCGCUUCCGUUCAUUCGGUCGCGUUGGGCGGGUCCAGGACAACCCAAUCCCUAACAAGGUGCGGGCCCUGGGUUGGUCUCCUGUCUAACCUUUAACACCAAACCAAAACUUCUAAAGUAUGAAUGCAAUCGGCAUUGCCGUUGCACUUAACCAAGACAACUCUCAACAACGGAUAUCUUGGCUCUCGCAACGAUGAAGAACGCAGCGAAAUGCGAUACGUAGUGUGAAUUGCAGAAACCGUGAACCAUCGAAUCUUUGAACGCAUAUUGCGCUCGAGGCCUCGGCCAAGAGCAUGUCUGCCUCAGCGUCGGGUUAAUACUCGCCCAAACCAACUCCGUUGGUACACGGCGGAUCUGGCAGUCCCACUCUGCAAGGGGGUGGGUCUGCUGAAGCGCAGAGGUUGAUGUAUGGACCCUUUAUGGGCCGCAACUGGGUAGGCAUUCAUUUGCUAAUUUCUAGUUGUUGGCUUGGGCAGUGCAUCCAACCCUCAAUCAGGAAACUAACCUCAUUUUCUCGACCUGAGCUCAGGCAAGAUUACCCGCUGAACUUAAGCAUAUCAAUAAGCGGAGGAAAAGAAACUAACAAGGAUUCCCCUAGUAACGGCGAGCGAACCGGGAAAAGCCCAACUUGAAAAUCUCUCUUUGGAGAAUUGUAGUCUAGAGAAGCGCCCUCUGUAGCGGGUGGAGCCUAAGUUCGCUGGAAGGCGACGUCAGAGAGGGUGAGAACCCCGUCGGCUCUUACUUUGCUGCCUCACGAGGUGCUUUCCACGAGUCGGGUUGUUUGGGAAUGCAGCCCAAAAUGGGAGGUAAAUCCCUUCUAAGGCUAAAUAUUGGCGAGAGACCGAUAGCGAACAAGUACCGUGAGGGAAAGAUGAAAAGAACUUUGAAAAGAGAGUUAAAAAGUGCUUGAAAUUGUUGAGGGGGAAGCGUUUGAAAGUCGUUGGUGCGCCUAGGCUUAUGCGUACUUAACGGUCCGCUGUAUGUGCUAGGUGCUGGUCAGCAUGGGUUCGUCGGGCGGGAUAAACGCUGGGGUUGUUACCCGGUCUAUGCCGCCUGAUUGACCAAGGUGUGAAUGGCGCUCUGUCCUUCGGGAACUGCGUCAUCAAGAUGCUGGCAGAAGGCUCAACCGCGUAAUGGCCC